CCCAGAAAAUGAAAACAGCUACCAUAAACUUGACUCAAGCAACAUCUAAACUACAAAAUUGUUCCCUACAAGUAUGACGCGAAUUGCAAAGUGCUAGCAAAAUUGUAAAUAACAGAUCAAUAAGAUUGAAUUGUUGAUUUUUACACAUAUGGAGGUUAAAUAGCUUGAAAAUCAAGAUUCUUUGUUGUUGAUUUUUACACAUGGAGGUUAAAUAGCUUGAAAAUCAAGAUUCUUUGUCUUUCGGUAUAUUACGAGGCAGUCUGUUGAGAACAUUCUCAUCAACAAUUUUAUAAUGUUUUGAAAAUUGGUGAUGGAUAACUCCGAAAC
rnacentral:lncRNA from 1 species